rnacentral:rRNA from 1 species
AUUGAACGCUGGCGGCAGGCCUAACACAUGCAAGUCGAGCGGAGCGGCGGACGGGUGAGUAAUGCCUAGGAAUCUGCCUGGUAGUGGGGGAUAACGUACGGAAACGGGCGCUAAUACCGCAUACUAUCAGAUGAGCCUAGGUCGGAUUAGCUAGUUGGUGGGGUAAAGGCCUACCAAGGCGACGAUCCGUAACUGGUCUGAGCGUAUGAUCAGUCACGUGGGAAAUGAGACACGGCCCAGACUCCGACGGGAGGCAGCAUGGGGGAAUUUUGGACAAUGGGCGAAAGCCUGAUCCAGCCAUGCCGCGUGUGUGAAGAAGGUCUUCGGAUUGUAAAGCACUUUAAGUUGGGAGGCGUUACCAACAGAAUAAGCACCGGCUAAUUUCGUGCCAGCAGCCGCGGAAUAC